UGGAGUUCUAGUUCAUUUACUUUGAGAAAAUUAGAGUGUUUAAAGCAGCCUCUUGGGGCACUGAAUACAUUAGCAUGGGAUAAUAAAAUAGGAUCUUCACAAUAUAUUUUAUUGGUUUAAAUUGGAUAUGAAGAUAAUGAUUAAUAGGGACAGUUGGGGGUAUUCAUAUUGGGUGGUUAGCGGUGAAAUGCUCGGAUCCAUUCAAGAUGAACUAAAGCGAAAGCAUUUACCAAGGAUGUUUUCAUUAAUCAAGAACGAAAGUUAAGGGAUCGAAGACGAUUAGAUACCGUCGUAGUCUUAACUAUAAACUAUGCCGACCAGGGAUAUGAGUUGUUAGGAUUAUAUGCAAAUAUAAUCAAUUUCUUCUUAUGGACCUUGUGAGAAAUCAUAAGUUUUUGGGUUCUGGGGGGAGUAUGGUCGCAAGGCUGAAACUUAAAGGAAUUGACGGAGGG
rnacentral:rRNA from 1 species